rnacentral:rRNA from 1 species
UAGUCCACGCCGUAAACGAUGGAUACUAGCUGUUUGUCUAACAUUGGUUAGAUAGGUGGCUAAGCGAAGGUGAUAAGUAUCCCACCUGGGGAGUACGUUCGCAAGAAUGAAACUCAAAGGAAUUGACGGGGGCCCGCACAAGCGGUGGAGCAUGUGGUUUAAUUCGAUGAUACGCGAGGAACCUUACCAAGGCUUAAAUGGGAUCUGACAGGGGUGGAAACACCCUUUUCUUCGGACAGAUUUCAAGGUGCUGCAUGGUUGUCGUCAGCUCGUGCCGUGAGGUGUCAGGUUAAGUCCUAUAACGAGCGCAACCCCUUUUGUUAGUUACCAGCAAGAAAGAUGGGGACUCUAACAAGACUGCCGGUGUAAACCGUGAGGAAGGUGGGGAUGACGUCAAAUCAUCACGGCCCUUACGUCUUGGGCUACACACGUGCUACAAUGGUAGGAACAAUGAGCAGCCACCCCGCGAGGGGGCGCUAAUCUAUAAAUCCUAUCCCAGUUCGGAUCGCAGUCUGCAACUCGA